rnacentral:rRNA from 1 species
CAUGAAGUCGGAAUUGCUAGUAAUCGCGGAUCAGCAUGCCGCGGUGAAUACGUUCCCGGGCCUUGUACACACCGCCCGUCACACCAUGGGAGCCGGUAAUACCCGAAGUNAGUAGUCCAACCUCGUGAGGACGCUGCCGAAGGUAGGAUUGGCGACUGGGGUGAAGUCGUAACAAGGUACC